rnacentral:rRNA from 1 species
GGAGUUUGGGCCGUGUCUCAGUCCCAAUGUGGCCGGUCACCCUCUCAGGUCGGCUACUGAUCGUCGGUUUGGUGGGCCGUUACCCCGCCAACUGCCUAAUCAGACGCAGGGCCAUCCCAUUCCACCGGAGUUUUUCACACUGUAUCAUGCGAUACCGUGCGCUUAUGCGGUUUUAUCAGCCGUUUCCAGCUGCUAUCCCCCUGUAUGAGGCAGGUUACCCACGCGUUACUCACCCGUCCGCCACUAAGUGUACAGCUAAAUCAGACGAAUCCUCAAUAAAAGUACACUCCGUUCGACUUGCAUGUGUUAAGCACGCCGCCAGCGUUCAUC